rnacentral:rRNA from 1 species
AUUGAACGCUGGCGGCGUGCUUAACACAUGCAAGUCGAUCGGUAACAGGUGUAGCAAUACAUGCUGAUGAGAGGCGGACGGGUGAGGAAUAUUUGGGAAUCUGCCCAUCAGCGGGGGACAACCCGGGGAAACCCGGGCUAAUACCGCAUACGCUCUACGGAGGAAAGCCGGGGACCGCAAGGCCUGGCACUGAUGGAUGAGCCCAAAUCGGAUUAGCUAGUUGGCGGGGUAACGGCCCACCAAGGCGACGAUCCGUAGCUGGUCUGAGAGGACGAUCAGCCACACCGGAACUGAGACACGGUCCGGACUCCUACGGGAGGCAGCAGUGGGGAAUAUUGGACAAUGGGGGAAACCCUGAUCCAGCGACGCCGCGUGGGUGAAGAAGGCCUGCGGGUUGUAAAGCCCUUUCGGUAGGGACGAAAGCUCUUGCUCUAAUAAUGCAAGAGGUUGACUUAACCUACAUAAGAAGCACCGGCUAACUCUGUGCCAGCCGCCGCGGUAACAC